AACGAGUCUUCAACCCCAUGUGCACUUAUCAUUGUUUCUGGGUGUCCUGUUUAAGGCGCCCAACCUUAUAAACCUUACUAUCUGUCUGAUAUAUUUUAAAUAAUAAAAACAACUUUUGACAACGGAUCUCUUGGCUCUCGCAACGAUGAAGAACGCAGCGAAAUGCGAUACGUAGUGUGAAUUGCAGAAUUUGUGAAUCAUCGAAUCUUUGAACGCACCUUGCACUCCUUUGGAGUAUGCCUGUUUGACAAUCAUUUGAUUUCUUCUCCCUAAAUGGGUGAGAUUUGAGCUCUUUGACUUAGUCAAUGGCUUUAAAUGAAUUGCUUGGUUAUUAACGUCAUAUUGUGACUCACCAAAGUGUAUGAAGGGUUCGCCCACUUCCUUUAGUGUUAGCAGUAGUUAAUUAGCUAUGCCUACCUGCAGUUUCGGCUGCAACUAAGUUAGGCAACUAGCUUGAACUUUGGUGUCAAAUCAGGUAGGAAGACCCGCUGAACUUAA
rnacentral:rRNA from 1 species